rnacentral:lncRNA from 1 species
GGGAUGGGGAGAGACCAGCCCCGCCUGCAGCACGUUGUUCCCUGCACCCAGCUGACACUUUGAUUUUUGGGUCCUGCCUCUCCAGCAGCAGUCUGCAACUUGCCAGCCAUCCCAACCGUUCAGCAGCUGAGCAGGAGAGAGAGAGUCUGGGAGUCUGAUCCCCACCUGCAGGGCCUCUCCAAGCUUCCCCUCCACGGCCUCGUCUCCUUACCCACCCACCCUCUGCAUAGGACCCGGGUAAGUAAGCUGAUGUCGGGGACAGCUGGGGUUUGAAGGAGAAUUUGGACACUGCAGCUUUAAGAAUGCCAGUGCCGUACUGCGAAAUCUUUCUCCUUCAAGUGACUGCAGAACCUCC